UGGCCAGUUGAGAGAGCAGACGCAA
rnacentral:piRNA from 1 species